AUUGAACGCUGGCGGCAGGCCUAACACAUGCAAGUCGAACGAGUGGCGGACGGGUGAGUAAUGUCUGGGAAACUGCCUGAGGGAGGGGGAGAACUACGGGAAACGGUAGCUAAUACGGCAUACCAUCAGAGGAGCCCCGAGUGGAUUAGAUAGGAGGUGGGGGAACGGGUCACCUAGGCGACGAUCCCUAGCUGGUCUGAGAGGAUGACCAGCCACACUGGAACUGGUCCACGGUCCAGACUCCUACGGGAGGCAGCAGUGGGGAAUAUUGCACAAUGGGCGCAAGCCUGAUACAGCCAUGCCGCGUGUAUGAAGAAGGCCUUCGGGUUGUAAAGUACUUUCAUCGGUGAUGCGUUACCCGCAGAAGAAGCACCGGCUAACUCCGUGCCAGCAGCCGCGGUAAUUC
rnacentral:rRNA from 1 species